rnacentral:rRNA from 1 species
UACGUAGGGUGCAAGCGUUGUCCGGAAUUAUUGGGCGUAAAGGGCUCGUAGGCGGUCCGUCACGUCGGGAGUGAAAUCCUGGGGCUUAACCCCAGAACUGCUUCCGAUACGGGCAGACUAGAGGUAGGUAGGGGGAGAAUGGAAUUCCUGGUGUAGCGGUGGAAUGCGCAGAUAUCAGGAGGAACACCAGUGGCGAAGGCGGUUCUCUGGGCCUUACCUGACGCUGAGGAGCGAAAGCGUGGGGAGCAAACAGG